rnacentral:tRNA from 1 species
GCCGAGGUGGUGUAGCCUGGGAACACACCGGCCUGUGGAGCCGGGGAUCGCGGGUUCAAAUCCCGCCCUCGGCC